AUUCAUAUCAGUCCUUUUGUAUUACUCUGCAAUAUUUUGUUCCCACUACUAUGUUUACGGCGUUUAGCGGUUUUAUUUAUUCUUGUAGAAAUAUCACCAUGGAUUAGCAGUAAACAUAACAUGGGAAUGGCUUUUAACAGAUCAACUUGGUUGCAGAUUGUAAAUUGUGCAUCAAAUUUUUGUCAAUAUGACGACUACAAUUGGGAUUGGUCGUUACAACAUGUAUCUCAAAACUGUUUGAAAGAUAAACUACAUGCAAUAAUAGCUCGUGCCCCCAGGGUUUUCCAUAUCGGAGAAUGGUAAA
rnacentral:misc_RNA from 1 species